GACGAACGCUGGCGGCGUGCCUAAUACAUGCCAGUCGAGCGAAGUUUUUCUGGUGCUUGCACUAGAAAAACUUAGCGGCGAACGGGCGAGUAACACGUAAAGAACCUGCCUCAUAGACUGGGACAACUAUUGGAAACGAUAGCUAAUACCGGAUAACAGUAUUUCUCGCAUGAGAGAUAUUUAAAAGUUGGUUAUGCUAACACUAUGAGAUGGCUUUGCGGUGCAUUAGCUAGUUGGUGGGGUAAAGGCCCACCAAGGCGACGAUGCAUAGCCGACCUGAGAGGGUGAUCGGCCACACUGGAACUGAGACACGGCCCAGACUCCUACGGGAGGCAGCAGUAGGGAAUAUUCCGCAAUGGGCGAAAGCCUGACGGAGCAACGCCGCGUGAGUGAAGAAGGAUUUCGGUUCGUAAAGCUCUGUUGUUAGGGAAGAAUGGAUAUGUAGUAACUAUACAUGUAAGAGACGGUACCUAACCAGAAAGCCACGGCUAACUACGUG
rnacentral:rRNA from 1 species